rnacentral:rRNA from 1 species
GACGAACGCUGGCGGCGUGCCUAAUACAUGCAAGUCGAGCGGACGAAUCGAAAGCUUGCUUUUGAUUCGUUAGCGGCGGACGGGUGAGUAACACGUGGGCAACCUGCCCUGUAGACGGGGAUAACACCGAGAAAUCGGUGCUAAUACCGGAUAACAAGAAAUGUCGCAUGACGUUUCGUUGAAAGACGGCGCAAGCUGUCGCUAAAGGAUGGGCCCGCGGCGCGUUAGCUAGUUGGUGAGGUAACGGCUCACCAAGGCGACGAUGCGUAGCCGACCUGAGAGGGUGAUCGGCCACACUGGGACUGAGACACGGCCCAGACUCCUACGGGAGGCAGCAGUAGGGAAUCUUCCGCAAUGGACGAAAGUCUGACGGAGCAACGCCGCGUGAGCGAAGAAGGCCUUCGGGUCGUAAAGCUCUGUUGUUAGGGAAGAACAAGUAACGCAGUAACUGGCGUUACCGUGACGGUACCUAACGAGAAAGCCACGGCUAACUACGUG